UGGGGAAUUUUGGACAAUGGGCGCAAGCCUGAUCCAGCCAUGCCGCGUGCGGGAAGAAGGCCUUCGGGUUGUAAACCGCUUUUGUCAGGGAAGAAACGCUCUGGGCUAAUACCCUGGGGUAAUGACGGUACCUGAAGAAUAAGCACCGGCUAACUACGUGCCAGCAGCCGCGGUAAUACGUAGGGUGCAAGCGUUAAUCGGAAUUACUGGGCGUAAAGCGUGCGCAGGCGGUUAUGCAAGACAGAUGUGAAAUCCCCGGGCUCAACCUGGGAACUGCACUUGUGACUGCAUAGCUGGAGUACGGCAGAGGGGGAUGGAAUUCCGCGUGUAGCAGUGAAAUGCGUAGAUAUGCGGAGGAACACCGAUGGCGAAGGCAGUCCCCUGGGCCUGUACUGACGCUCAUGCACGAAAGCGUGGGGAGCAAACAGGAUUAGAUACCCCCGUAGUCCCUGAGCGGGCUGGCAAGGCGCAU
rnacentral:rRNA from 1 species